UAGCCCAAAAGAGCCACAGGACCUAGCCAAUAUGUUCCAGUAGAAUCAGUAGAAUAACUUUGGAACCAAUUCCAAAGAUGCUGGGUCACCAGAAAACGGAACAUAAAGUUGAAUAACUGAGAGUUCCAGUUAUGAAGAGAUCUCCACCUAUCAAGACAGUAUAUUUCCCCCUUAGAGUAUAUCCCCAACUCUCCUACUGGCAGCCAAACUCAUCACCAGGGUUAAGUUACAAGUUAACCUAGCAAUGAAGGUGCUGAGAUUACCAAGGGAGAAAAGAAGAAGAAAACAGACUUAUGCUCUGAAAGAGGUAGAUUUAGCCAAUAAGUACUGGCAGAAGUUAGAAGAGUAUGUAGAUGAAUUGAUUCCAAGGAUGCUAGAUUAAGAUGGGAAGGAAUAUAAUGUUGGAUAAGAGAGCCAUUUUUGAUGUGGGAGGACCCUCCCAGGAUACAGGAUUUAAUAACACCCUGAUGAGGACUCCAGAAAAUGGUGUGAUAAUGUUGCUAGGAUAAAGACAAUAUUGCAUUCUAGAAAAAAUGUAAGAUGUCAGUACGACUCUUAAAGAUCUAAAGGAGGCACAUUUUAUAGUCCUCAUUGUGCCCUCCAUUUUAUUCACCACUCUUGUUGAUACAACAAGCAGAUAGAUGCUGGAAGUUGGAAUUGAACUACACAAAUUCAACCAAGUAGAAGCCCCAUUUGCAUGUGCUUGGCAGUUGCAGUAUCUUUGCUACAGCAGAUUAAUGCAACUUUAGUUCAUAGUACCUGGCAACUGAUCUAGCAAGAACACUGUUAUCCAUCUCUACCAAGAAAGUGAACCAGAAGCAGUUCUCAUUCACAUGGACAUAACAGCAGUAUGCAUCUUCCAUCCUGAUCCAGGAUUAUAAUAACUUUUCUGUCCUCUGCCAUAAUGCAGUCUGAAAGAAUCUGAAUUUAUUGGACAUUAGAAAGAACAUUAUCCUGGUCCGUUAUAUAAUAUCAAUGACAUCCUGUAAGAGAACCGAAUAAGCAAAAAGUGGCAAGUACUUUGGAAGUCUGGGUAAGACGUGCUCAGAGGAUGGAAAACAGACACCUCCUCAGUGAACAACCUUUCCAAAGAGAAAGACAAAUUGAUGCAAAUUCCAAAAUAAAGGGCAAUCUUCCAAAAAAAGAACAAAUUAGCUCACUUUCCCCAUCAAUAAGAAGGUAGCACAACCCAUAACAGAACACUUUAGAUCUAAGAGAGAACACAGUCCAUGCCAGGAAUACUGUUCUGACCUAAUUACCAGUGCCACAGAAGGAUGCUGGCUUGGACUGGGGCUUAGGGCAGUUAAAGACCUUGGAGGAGGUAUAGGUUCAACUGAAGAAUUAAUUCCUCAAGCUUAGACCAUAUAACCCCACAUGCCCCAUGAUAUUAGAAGUAUCUUUAGUGUGACAAGCCACAUGUAAAGUCUAUGGCAAGUCCCUGUAGAAAAAUCACAAUGUUAGCCACUGAAGGUUUUUCAGCAAGCCUGUGCCAUUUGCAAUAUAGAAUUACAAAUCACUUGACCAACAGUUUAUGGUGUACUACUGGGAACUUACUUAGGCAGAAUGCCUGAAAAUAGGCAAUUAAGAGACCAUGGUGCCAAAAAUGUCCAUUAUAACUAGGUUUUGUCAGCCAAGUCAUAAGAUCAUGCAGGUCCUGUGGCAAUCCAUUAUUAAAUAAAAAUGAUACAUUUGGGACUGAGCACAAGUAGACAGAGAAAGCCCAAGUGAGCUAUAUGCAGAAAUGGCAAACCCCUACAUCUUUCCUAUUGCACUGCCUCAUUUCCCUCAACUCAUCCCUAUGACUGCAUGGACAGUCCUGUCUAACCAUCAAGUUCAAGACACGUUCACAGAUCGGUUAGCUCCACAUGUGGUAUAAACCAAAAAGAUACUGCACCUGCCCUGCAGCCCCACUAAUGGGUGCCUUCAAAGAGUGCAAUGAGAGAAAAUAUUCCCAAUGGGGUACAGCAUCAGGGACCAUAUAGGUUGUAUGGAAAGAGAAGUGGCUGCGGUAAAAAUAAACAUAGUCUUAUUGGCAGCAGUGAAUAACUUAGCUGAUUGUUGGCUGGAGGCCUGAAAAGAGAAGUGACAGAAAAUCAGCAACAAUAACUCAGAAAAACAGGCAUGCAAAUGUACCUCCUAUGGGAGUGGGCACAAAGUAGAGAGAUCUUUGUAGACCAUGUUAUCGUCCCCCAGAGAGCAUCCACCACAAAAGAGGCAUGUGGCAGAUUGUAUUCUUUUAAAAAGGCCACAACAAUUUCUCCAAUUCUAGAAGUCGUCCAUUAAAUGUAAACUUAACACUAUUCCCAUAAAGAGGUGUAAAGAGGCCAGAUCUAUAAUCCCUUUCUUUCAACCUGGGUGGACCUUUGUCUCUGCCUCAAACAAUAGAGCGUCACAGAAUUGAUCCAUGUAACUUCCAAUGCAAAAUUCCAAGCGAUCCUUUGUACUUUCUCAGGAUACUUACUCUUAGAAUCCUGACACCAUGCUGCAGGAAAACCCAAACUUUCCAAUUCAGCCAAAGUCCCAGCUAUCAGCCAGAGUCUCAAGUAUCACAUAUGUCAGUGAAGAUGCCAGCAGAUUAUUCCAGCCUCCAGAUGUUAAGUCAUCCUCCACCAUCAAGUCUUCCCAGGUAAGGGCUCAGAAAUUAUGGGGCGAAGAUAAACCAUUCUGAAUAUCCCUCAUAUAAAUUCUUGGCCCACGGAAUUUAUGAAUAUAAUAAAGGGAGUGUUUUACACCACAAAAUUGGGGUCGGUUGUUACAGAGCAAUAGUAAUUGGAAUCAGAAUACAGAAUAACUUGAUUUAUUGACAUUAGCUUGCCAUCAGCUACUCCAAUGUUGCAUCAAUAGACACAAAAAGGAAGAAGCCAUAGUGAAAAUUAUGGACAUUAUCCAUAUACUGAAUAGCAAAAGCUCCCAUUCAUAAGCAUUGAACUAGCUAAUGCUGCUGCUAAAUGUCCAACCUGCCAGCAGGAGGGACCCUGAUGUACCCCAUUCCUCAAGGAAACUAACUAGGCAUUUGGUAGAAAUUGAGUACAGUGGACUCCAUGUACAAAUGAAAGAUUAGAAAUUCAUCUUGAUCGGAACUGACAGUUACCUUGUGCCUAUAGUGCCCCAUAAAACACAUCAAUAUAAGAGAUUUCAGAAUAUGUGAUAUACCCAAAACAGGAUCUCUCCUAACAUUGUACUAAUGAAAGGGAUCCACUGAACAGAAAAGAAGGUGCUGCAAUGAUCAUGGAAUCUACUGGUUCUAUCACAUCAUCUAAUAGAAAACUUUUGAAGGAGCAGCAUUAAUACAGCAGCUUGGAGAUGAUACUCUUAAAGUUGGACUCCACACUUGCAGGAUAUGACACAGUCCUAAAUUAAUGCCUAUUAUAUGUAGCUGUGUCCCCAGUAGGUAGAAUAUAUAAGUCCAAGGGCCAAGAGGAGGCAGUGUAGUAUCCUCACAGUUAUCUUCACUCCCAUGACAUAUGUAUAGUAUCUGUGCUUCCUGUCCCCAGAAUUACAGGGCCUGUGUGGCUAAGAUGUGUUGGUUCCCAGAGGGGGAACACUUUUCUUAGGGACAAUAGCAAGAGUCUCAAACUCCUGUGACAGUUGUCACCUAUUUAUUUGGGCUCCUUAUGCAAAAGACAAGCAGGCAAAGAACAAAGUCACUUUUCAGGCAGGGAUAAUAAAUCCUGAUUGUCUGGGGGAGGGAAGGCGCUGUUAUGUAACAUGAGCAGGGGAGAAGACCUCUGGCACCCCAGUAACCCACUUGAAGUAUGUGUUGAUGCUCUCUUACCUAGUUCUGGUAGAAAACCGAUAAAUGCAUCAGCUGUGACCUGAGAAGAUCUUGGCGACCAAGAUCUUAGGCCCUUCAGGUCACCUCGCCAAGUUCACAAUCUAAUCCUUUAGAAUUGCUAGCUGAGGGUAAUGGGUUCUAGAAGAAGUAGUAGAAAAGGGGAAUGAUGAGUAUCAGACAUGGUUCUGAGACCAGACAUAGGGACUGACGUUUGUCCCGUUAACCAUCCUCUUUUGUAAGUUUCCUUAAGAUAAAAGGCUGGCUCCCGGAGGGCCAGUUCUCAAAUAGGAUAAGCAAGCAGAUAUGAACAACACAAGUGGUCUGAGAUGGGAUGGAACAUCCAGAACUCCUUCUGCAUGAAGAAGACAUCCACUCACUCAACUUCCAAUAGUGUUACCUGGUGAUUGCUCACAACUGAGUUCCUCCCAGAAUUUCCCUUCCACCAAAGGGAGCUGCCUAAUCCAAAUAUAUUGGCUCUGCCCCAGGGGCAACCCACGUCCAAGGACUGGUAGAAAAGGGAGUAAACAGAAUUCUUUCUCUAUGUGGAACAUCUCUGAAGGUCCGUCCCAACUUUACAGCAUCCCAUGCACUCAGCCUAGGACUCUGUUGCAAGUGAAUCAGAGUUCACCUUCUCCCUCUGCUCUACCCAGGCUCCCUUCUUCCCUUACAGGUGUUCUUCCCAACAUCGCUCUCUAAUAAACCACCUGCAUGUAAACCUUCCACUUGGGUUCAGUUUCCUGGGGAAGUCAACCUAUGACAUGAACACACUGCAUUCUGCCUUGAUCUAUUCUAUUAAUCCUCAUGACAUGAAAUCCUCCUAUCACCCUGCUAUGUCAAUAAAUUUAUUCCUAUUCUCUAGGCCUAAUUCUCUAGGCUAAGAUUGUGACCAGACUAACACAUCUGCUCCUACCCAUGCAACUUCAAGUCUAAUCCCCAGAGCAGAGCACAAUAGUAAGUUGAAAUUCUGCUUUACUAUUUUCAUUAUUUGCUUUAUAAAUAACUUUCCAUCUGUAGAAAUGCUGAGUCUUUCAUUACUACUGUGAAAACCUCUGAAAUGUCAUAAUAAUUGUCGGGAGGGUGACAGCUAUGCAAAAUGAAUGAGAAGCAGUCAAUAGUUAAGCUGCUAAAAAUAUUCUUAGAACAAACUUAGAAAUAUCUUAAGAAAGUCUAAAUUAGCUUUCGUCACAGCCAAAGACAUUUAAAUGGCAUUUUUAGGUUCAUAAGAUAUUUUACCUUUUAUUUUAUUUAAGAAACUCUAUUCCAGCUUUCAUGGAUAUUAUUUAAUUAUUAUUGGUAAAAUUAAAUGAUAAACCACAAUAUAGAUAUGUACUUAAAUCUUAGAUGUAUAAGUGUAUACCUCAAUUAUGAAGUCAUUAUCCACUCUCACUCAAAAUAGAGCAUGCAUCUAAAAUAUCACAAAGUGCAAGAAUUGGAAGCAGAGAAAGACUUUAAAAAGGUGUACUAUAUUCUAUGAGUACUCCCAAAUAUAGAACUAAAUGUGUAAACUGUAAAAACACGAAAUCUAUUAAACUCUUAUGAACUUGGAUUUGACUCAUCUUUUACUCUACCCUUUACAAAGGCUUCCAGUUUAAUUUGAAAUUUCUGGUUACAAAAUGCAUGGUGGCUCCACCAUUUAACAUUAGCACUAUUUCCAGCGUGCAAAAGUCAUACCCCAUUAGUUUCAAGUAUUUGGUUAGAUAUUAGGAAGUCAUUGUUUAAAGAAGGAAUUCACAAAAUCAGUGCUUCUCCAUGUUUUUUUUUUUUUUU